CAGUGUAGCUUUGGGCAAAGCACUUCACCUCUCUGAACUUCAGUGUCUUCCUGGGGAAAGCAGAGUAAGAACACUUUACCUGCCGUGAGGACUGGGUUUAUGUACAGACAGUCCCUGGCAUGAGGUGACUUCUUCCAGCUCGGCCUGUCCUGGUGUGAACCCCAUGCUGGCCUGACACCCACUCCCAGUCCCCAUAGAAACCAAGUCAAGAGUUCUGAUGGGGGAAGUGAAGCGCCCAGCAUCUGAGGCGAGGCGCAUCCCUGCCUGUGACUCAUCUCCGACUGGAUUGCGGGCAGGCGGGCGGCCGGCAGACUGCAGUUUUCCAGGUUCUGAAGUGGCCGAAUGGUGGGCGGCAAGUCCACGUC